UACGUAGGGGGCGAGCGUUGUCCGGAUUUAUUGGGCGUAAAGAGCGUGUAGGCGGCUUUGCAAGUCCGUUGUGAAAACUCGAGGCUCAACCUCGAGACGCCGGUGGAAACUGCAAAGCUAGAGUCCGGAAGAGGAGAGUGGAAUUCCUGGUGUAGCGGUGAAAUGCGCAGAUAUCAGGAAGAACACCCGUGGCGAAGGCGGCUCUCUGGGCCGAUACUGACGCUGAGGAGCGAAAGCGUGGGGAGCAAACAGG
rnacentral:rRNA from 1 species